rnacentral:rRNA from 1 species
AGCUCCAAUAGCGUAUAUUAAAGUUGUUGCAGUUAAAAAGCUCGUAGUUGGAUUUCUGGCCGGGGUCAACGGCGCGCGACGCGCGCCCGCGUCCCCGCCCAUCCGUCUGUUAAGCCGGUAUGGCAUUCUUUUGCUGACCGGUGGCUCAGACAAUUUACCUUGAGAAAAUUAGAGUGUUUCAGGCAGGCUCGCGCCGGGAUACAUUAGCAUGGAAUAAUAGAACAUGACUUGAGUCUCUUCUGUUGGUUUGAGGGAUGCAAGUAAUGAUUAAUAGGGAUAGUUGGGGGCAUUAGUACUUAACUGUCAGAGGUGAAAUUCUUGGAUUUGUUAAAGACUAACUUAUGCGAAAGCAUUUGCCAAGGAUGUUUUCA